rnacentral:rRNA from 1 species
CCUACGGGGGGCUGCAGUGGGGAAUAUUGGACAAUGGGGGGAACCCUGAUCCAGCCAUGCCGCGUGUGUGAAGAAGGCCCUCGGGUUGUAAAGCACUUUCAGUGAGGAAGAACGCCUGGUGGUUAAUACCCAUCAGGAAAGACAUCACUCACAGAAGAAGCACCGGCUAACUCCGUGCCAGCAGCCGCGGUAAUACGGAGGGUGCGAGCGUUAAUCGGAAUUACUGGGCGUAAAGCGCGCGUAGGUGGCUUGAUAAGCCGGUUGUGAAAGCCCCGGGCUCAACCUGGGAACGGCAUCCGGAACUGUCAAGCUAGAGUGCAGGAGAGGAAGGUAGAAUUCCCGGUGUAGCGGUGAAAUGCGUAGAGAUCGGGAGGAAUACCAGUGGCGAAGGCGGCCUUCUGGACUGACACUGACGCUGAGGUGCGAAAGCGUGGGUAGCAAACAGGAUUAGAUACCCGGGUAGUC